GUGCUCACUCCAGUGGCACAUAAACUAACACUGGAACUACACAGAGACGACUAGCAUGGUCCCUACGCAAGGAGGACAUGCAGAUUUGUGUAGUGUUCCAUAGUAAA